CAGAGGAAAUCUCUGACACCAAAAAUAUUAAUAUUUCUCUUAUUAUAUUUUCUCAUCCUGGACAGAACAUCACCCUGCUCUGUAACAUCACUAAUUAUACUGAGAUAUCAUGGUAUCAACUGAGAUCUGAGGAGGUGAAGCUGCUGAUAUCUGCUGAAAAAGGGAACCUGAAGAAAACCUUUUUCUUCAUUUAUAAUGUGAACGAGAAUCACUUUGUUGUAACAGAAAGCAGCAGUUCAGUCGGUUUAGUGAUUACUGGAGUUAGAGAGACAGAUCUGGGAUUUUAUUACUGUGGAGGUCGAAACGACGCGACACACAUUCAGUUUGGGAAAGUCAUCAGACUGAACUUUCCAGGUGGGUGCCAAUACUUUAUUUACGUUGCUUGUUGAUAGUGCAUUUAGUUUUUGUGUUUAUAUUUACAUACUGAAUUACUGCAAUGUUAAUAAUUAUCUGAAGACUAUUUAAGAUGCAUUAUUGUUUAGUACUUGUAUCAGAGCACUGCUGAAUUCUGCAUUGUGAUUGGUCAGAAGGUGUUGAUUAAUUCUCUAUAACAGCAGCUCUGACACUAGUGCAGCUGCAAAUCACAGCUUUAUAUUAAUGCACUUGUUCUAAUACGUUAUCGUUUCUAUAGUAACAGCUCAUUCACAGGGACGCUCCACAUAAAUGGAUUAAAAACGUGUGUAAUUGUUGAUAUGGUGAUGUUUUCUGUAAGUAGAUGUUUAUUUAAAAUUUAAGAAAGGAGUCUCCAGUGUCAGCGCUUUGUAACAGUCAGAGGUAAAGCUGUAACUUUAACUUUUCCGACAAGCUGCGUUUUUUUGUCUAACUUGUUUCCUGGACAUUCCACAACAUUAAACAUAACUAGAAAUGAAUACACACUCGAAAUAAAACACUCGAAGUGUGCUGUUAUAAGAAAUGAAUGUGUUUGUGUGUGUGUGUGUGUGUGUGUGUGUGUGUGUGUGUGUCUGAUGAAUGUGUGUGCAUCUAAUGAAUGUGUUUGUGUCUAAUGAGUGUGAGUGUGUGUCUAAUGAAUGAAUGAAACCAGCAGUAUGAAUGCUGUUUAGGUCAAUUAUGACAGAAUUUUGUGUGGAUUGAAUUUUCUUCCAGACAAGUGUGUUAGCAGUAGAGACCUGAUCGAGAAGGAAGUCAAGCUGCAACACACUGCUGAUUUGACCUGUGUGACCUACACAAGAGUCUCCUGAAGGCCCAGAAACUAUUUAACAGCAUGAAUCACCACGUCACAGAGAACCUGCUAUGAUCUGGUCUACGUCUGACCACAGCAUUUAUUACAAUAAUUUUUAAUAAGUUUCAUUAAAUAGAUAGAUAUGUGAGAAUUAUUCUAAAAGCUGUGGUCAGUUUUCAUUUAAAGACGUUUCAGAAAUGGUAUUUAUAGCGGCUCUGAAUUCUGAGUAAAGGUCUGAGCUCAUGUUUCUGUUCAGCUGUGUGCUAUGUCCUGUUCAGACUGUGUGGUUAACACCACCAGUAGCCCUCAUCUUCCUUCCAUUUUAGGAUAUGUGAAGAAAGCAUUGUGUUGUGUUUUUUUUUUUUUUUGUUAGCAUUGUAGGUAGAUCUGUGUAAAGAACAUAAACUGAUAAAAUGUUGAUUGUGCUCGGAUCUAUAUGCACCUUCGUGAUGUGAGCAGUUUAUUGGACAGAUAAAAUACAGAGCAGGAUGUAGGACCAUGUGGCUAAAACCAGGCCUGAAAUGCACCCUGUUUUUUUUUUUUUUUUUUUUUUUUUUAACUCCACAAACUGAGUGUGAAACAUCAGCACUUUUUCUCAGAGUGCUGGAGGGUGUGUGUGAGACAUGGCCAAACUCCUGUCUACAUUUAUUCUACAGAUGCUGUUUGGUGAGUUCAUACACACAUUAGCAAAAUAGAUAGUAAACUAUAAAUGAGUGUUAUUAGCCACUGUACCUGUGAGAGUAUGAGUAAUGUUCAGGAAUGGAUUAAUGCACUAAGGCUGGUUUGGACAGUGAUGAUGAAUCUGCUCUCCUGUUGUGCUUUUAGCUUUCUUUACACCGUGUCUCCUUCAGAUUGCUUCAACUGAUCAUUUAUCUGUCCAUCCUGGAGAGAGCAUCAUCCUGCUCUGUAACAUCACUAAUUAUUCUGAGAUAUCAUGGUAUCGACUGAGAUCUGAGGAGGUGAAGCUGCUGAUAUCUGCUGUAAAAGGGAACCUGAAGAAACAGUUUAUCCUCAGUUAUAAUGUGAACAAGAUCAACAUCGUGAGACUGAUCACUCAGACACACAGCAGUCUGCACCUCCUGCACACUGUGGAGAUAUUAUUAUUAUUAUAAUAAUCCUGUCGUGUGUGUGUGUGGUCUCUGUUUCAAUAAGCAUCACCUGCUCCUCUCUGUACUGUUCCAGUCUACAAGAUAAGUGUUCUUUCACCGGGGACUCGGAUGAGAAGGUAGCAGAAAAACAAGGAAAUGUAGUUGAUAGAAGGCAGUGCUCAGAUCAUGUCACUAUUAAAGCAGACUAAAAAUGUCACAUUAUCAGAUGUUUCUCUGUGCAGGAAGUGGACCUGCAGCUGUCUGAUUUGACCUCUGUGACCUACACAUGUGUCUCCUGACAGCCCAGAAAACAUUAGCAACAAUUUAUAAAGCUUUAUAUAAACACAUGGACAGAGGUGUGGUGCAGUUUCCUGCUUUUAUUUCUGUACUUUUAUAGGGUUUAUAGACCUUAUAUUGCUAAUAGUUGCACAUGAUUUGUACUGCUUUUGUAGAGCUUUACUCUGUCAUUGUCUAUAAGAUUAAAAUGUAAGGAGGAAUACCAUGUUUCAACCGCACAGUGUUUCUUUAAACAGGCAGUGAAUGGCGCUUUGAGAUUGAAUAUGACUUGUACAUAGUCAGAUGGUGAUGAAAUGCGUGUGUAAGGCCAAUUCAUUUGUAAGUGCUAUACACCAAAACAUUUGGGUUUGAGAUCAAAAAAAUGGAUAUGAGACAGAAUUUAAGAGUUUAGGAUUUCAGCUUUUGUUUCUAAAUCUAGAUGUGUUAAAUCAUAGAACCUUUUGUAUCAGACAACCCAUUUUUUAGGUGAGCAAAAGUAUAGGAACAGAUAGGUUUUGAAGUAAGUCAAAGUAAAUAAGACAAUACUUGGUUGCAUAUCCCUUGCUUGCAAUAACUACAUCAAGCCUACGACUCACUGACAUCACCAAACUGUUGGUUUCUUCUUUUGUGAUGCUUUUCCAGGCUUUUACCGCAGCCUCUUUCAGCCUCUUUCAGCCUUCUUUACAUCUACAUAUAAAUACCAGGAAAUAAAAGCUGAAAUUCUAUGCUCUCUUCUCAUAUUCACCUUUUGAUCUCAAACUCAAAUGUCUUCAGUAGUAGUAUCAGAGGGGACUAUAUACCUUAUUGGUAGACAUAUUUUCACCAUAUUCCUAUACUGGGAAAUAAUAUAAUGUUUUUUUGUACCUUUUAAUAAUGUUGCAAGUAAUUGAUCUAAAACAUGUAAUAUCAGUGCGACAGAAGCAGCUCCACAAUCAGCCAUUAAAUAGUUUAAUAUAAAGGCUUGUGAUGGAAAUAAAUGAUUUAUCUUUACUGUAUGUUAGUGGUGUAGACAGUAAUACAGUAAUACAGGAAUGUAGCACAGUACAGUAUCUUUUUGCUGCCACCUACAGGUUGAAUUUAUUCAGUGUGUAAAGGGUUAAAGAAUAUAAAAGACAUUAUUUCUCUUUAAUUAGAGAGGUGAUUAUCAUUGAUGAUGUACAAACACAGAUGUAAUGACAUGCAAAACUAUCUGUUGAAGUCAAAUUGAGGUUUAGACAUUUAGAUUGAGAGAUUCAGAAUGAGAUUUUCUCUGUUUUUGUCUUAGACACAGCAGAUGCUGACACAAACACACACUAUAAAAGAUUACAAUGAUUGCACAUUUUACACUGAGAUUGUAAGUCUUAUCAUCCAGUUUUAAAUGUUCUCAUUUUAGUCCCUAUAACUUUUUUAAUUUAAAAUUGCAUACAUCACAGUGCUGUUGAAUUCUGGAUUGUGAUUGGUCAGAAGGUGUUGAUUAAUUUUCUAUAACAGCAGCUCUGACAGUAGUGCAGCUGCAAAUCACAGGUUUAUGUUAAUGCACUCGUUCUAAUAUGUUAUCGUUUUAAAAAAUGUGUGUAACUGUCGAUAUGAUGACAUUUUCUGUAAGGUGACAGACCUUAUCCUGAGAAGACUGGGCAGGAAUACAUUGUGCACACACUCAUUCACCCCUAGGGGCAAUUUAGCACAGCCGGUCCACUUCCCGGGGGGCACAGUGGCUUAGUGGUUAGCAUGUUAGCCUCUCUGUGCUUUGGGGGUUGCU